GGAACAACUGUGCUGCUCUGUACAGGCGGCCAGACCCCUGCUUCGGAUGGGGGACAGCGGCUGGCGAAUGUUAAGCCUCAGGCUCCCCUCUGAGUCCGAGCUGACAGAGAGAAAUGCAGAGAGGAGGGAAGACAGACAGGGGGAGAGAAAGACAGACACCUGCAGACCUGCUUCACCGCCUGUCAAGCGACCCACCUGCAGGUGGGGAGCCGGGGACUUGAACCGGGAUCCUCACACCAGUCCUUGCACUGCCACGUGCGCUUAACCCGCUGCGCUACUGCCCGACUCCCUCUGGGAGGGAUUUCUACAAAAACUACCUGGCUCUCCUGCCACACACAAACUUGACAAAAGAACCAACCCGCUUGGGCGGGGAGGAAGCCUCAGGCACCCAAUGACUAUGGUUGCUCACAGUACCAGAUUAAAAGUAUAAAUGUCUCACAAAA